rnacentral:rRNA from 1 species
GUAGGGAAUAUUGGACAAUGGGCGAAAGCCUGAUCCAGCCAUGCCGCGUGAUAGAUGAAGGCCCUCUGGGUUGUAAAUAUCUUUUAUCUGGGAAGAAACUCCUCUAUUCUUAGAGGCCUGACGGUACCAGAGGAAUAAGCACCGGCUAACUCCGUGCCAGCAGCCGCGGUAAUACGGAGGGUGCAAGCGUUAUCCGGAUUCACUGGGUUUAAAGGGUGCGUAGGCGUGUUGAUAAGUCAGUGGUGAAAGCUCCGGGCUUAACUUGGAAACUGCGAGUGAUACUGUCAGUCUUGAAUGUCGUAGAGGUAAGCGGAAUGUUGCAUGUAGCGGUGAAAUGCUUAGAUAUGUUACAGAACACCAAUUGCGAAGGCAGCUUACUAUGCGAUAAUUGACGCUGAGGCACGAAAGCGUGGGGAGCAAACAGGAUUAGAAACCCCGGUAGUCC